rnacentral:rRNA from 1 species
AACGAACGCUGGCGGCAUGCCUAAUACAUGCAAGUCGAACGAGAUCUUCGGGUCUAGUGGCGCACGGGUGCGUAACGCGUGGGAAUCUGCCCUUGGGUUCGGAAUAACAUCGGGAAACUGAUGCUAAUACCGGAUGAUGACGUAAGUCCAAAGAUUUAUCGCCCAGGGAUGAGCCCGCGUAGGAUUAGCUAGUUGGUGGGGUAAAGGCCUACCAAGGCGACGAUCCUUAGCUGGUCUGAGAGGAUGAUCAGCCACACUGGGACUGAGACACGGCCCAGACUCCUACGGGAGGCAGCAGUAGGGAAUAUUGGACAAUGGGGGCAACCCUGAUCCAGCAAUGCCGCGUGAGUGAUGAAGGCCUUAGGGUUGUAAAGCUCUUUUACCAGAGAUGAUAAUGACAGUAUCUGGGGAAUAAGCCCCGGCUAACUCCGUGCCAGCAGCCGCCGUAAUAC